GGAAGCGUGCCUGAACUAAAGGACUACUUUGAUAGAGUAAAACAUAGCGGUUUAAGCCCGCUCACUUCCU
rnacentral:tRNA from 1 species